rnacentral:rRNA from 1 species
CACGGAGUUAGCCGGUGCUUAUUCAUCUGGUACCGUCGGCUACAAUAGAAAUCGUAGGUUUCUUCCCAGAUAAAAGAAGUUUACAACGCAGAACGCCUUCAUCCUUCACGCGGCAUGGCUGGGUCAGACUUGCGUCCAUUGCCCAAUAUUCCUCACUGCUGCCUCCCGUAGGAGUCGGGCCCGUGUCUCAGUGCCCGUGUGGCUGAUCAUGCUCUCACAUCAGCUACCCAUCGUCGCCUUGGUAGGCCGUUACCCUACCAACUAGCUAAUGGGACGCACGCUCAUCUCAUUCCGUCGGAACUUUAAUAUCAGAAAGAUGCCCUCCUAAUAUACUAUGGGAUAUUAAUCCGGAUUUCUCCGGGCUAUCUCCCAGAACGAGGUAAAUUGCGUACGUGUUCCGCACCCGUUUGCCGGUCGCCGCCAGGUAUUGCUACCCGCGCUGCCCCUCGACUUGCAUGUGUUAAGCCUGCCGCUAGCGUUCAUCCUGAGCCAGG